rnacentral:ncRNA from 2 species
AGGUGUCUUCAGGGCAGGGUGAGAUUCCCGACCGGCGGUGAUAAAGGAGACUUUUUUUCUCUAAAACGAGGCAGCGAGUUGUAGGCUAUACUAGAGUAUGCCAAGACGAGCUAAGGAAGUGACAGAAAAAAAGAGAUUCUUUGAAGUCCGCGAGCGAAAGCUGAUGUGGUGCAAUUCCACAACCGACAGUAAAGUCUGGAUGGGAGGAGACGAAG